UUGGGUUUCCUUGGAUUCGUUCGAGUGAGAUGAACGGCGUCGAUGGCAUCGUGCAAUCUGGGAUGGAGGAGUGACAGUGGCGUCCAUGCGCGAUGGUGUAGCGUCGGAAUGGGAGCGGCGAGAGCGAGGGAUGGAGUUGGAAGGGCCGUUCGAUCCGCUCGUCGUGCCCCAGGGCCCCGGCAUGUCUGAUGUUUGUUGAAGCCGGGCUCUUGUCGCUUGAGGGGUAAGAGAUGAGCCUUGGAUUGAAGCUUUUUCCGUCAUCUUCUACGGAGAACAGGUAUCUCUGUUGAAGCUUGGGAUGCUUAGAUGCCUGCAAUUACUGCUGAUGGUCACAAUUCAUUAUGGGAGAUCCAUACUUGUGGUCUUGUCAAUGGACAGCAUGGAUGGAUGGGAUGAGCGAAAUGUUUUCUUGUUUCUUUAACUCUGCUUAGUUUAGCUUCUACCAAUCAUGUAGUCAAUUAUUAGAUUUUUUUUCUUUUAAUCCAUUGUCACUACUUGUGGGACCUUGGAGAUGAAGAUUAGCUCCAUGUUGGUUCUUUAGCCUUCUCAUGGUCAACUGUAAGCUUUUUGUCAACUCAAUGUCGGUUGGUGAAGGAUUUGGUUAUGAUGAUUAUGAUGAGAAAAGAUUUACCUCAAACUUUGUAAACUGCAAACUACUGAU